rnacentral:rRNA from 1 species
AGAACGAACGCUGGCGGCGUGCUUAAGACAUGCAAGUCGUGCGAGAAAGUUCCUUCGGGAGCGAGUAAAGCGGCGCACGGGUGAGUAACACGUGGGUAAUCUGCCCGAGGGUCUGGGAUAACUCCGGGAAACUGGGGCUAAUACCGGAUAAGACCACGGCGUCUGCGGACGCUGCGGGAAAAGGUGGCCUCUGCUUGCAAGCUACCGCCUACGGAUGAGCCUGCGUCCCAUUAGCUAGUUGGCGGGGUAACGGCCCACCAAGGCUGAGAUGGGUAGCUGGUCUGAGAGGACGACCAGCCACACUGGAACUGAGACACGGUCCAGACUCCUACGGGAGGCAGCAGUCGGGAAUUUUGGGCAAUGGGCGAAAGCCUGACCCAGCGACGCCGCGUGAGGGAUGAAGGCCUUCGGGUCGUAAACCUCUGUCGGGAGGGACGAAAGGCAGCCGGGCGAAUAGGCCGGCGGCUUGACGGUACCUUCAAAGGAAGCGCCGGCUAACUCCGUGCCAGCAGCCGCGGUAAUACGGAGGGCGCAAGCGUUGUUCGGAAUUACUGGGCGUAAAGCGCGUGUAGGCGGCCUGACAAGUCGAAUGUGAAAUCCCGGAGCUCAACUCCGGAACUGCAUACGAUACUGCCAGGCUCGAGUCUCGGAGAGGGUGGCGGAAUUUCCGGUGUAGAGGUGAAAUUCGUAGAUAUCGGAAGGAACACCAGUGGCGAAGGCGGCCACCUGGACGAUGACUGACGCUGAGACGCGAAAGCGUGGGGAGCAAACAGGAUUAGAUACCCUGGUAGUCCACGCCGUAAACGUUGGGUGCUAGACGUCGGGGGUAUUGACCCCCUCGGUGUCGAAGCUAACGCAUUAAGCACCCC